GCCUACAACAUAGCGUUAAUGCACCGGAUCCCAUUAGAACUCCACAGUUAAGCGCACGCAGGCUAGAGUAGUAUGAGGAUGGGUGACCACCCGAGAAGUCCUAGUGUUUUAUAUGCC
rnacentral:rRNA from 1 species